UACGGGGGAGCAAGCGUUGUUCGGAUUUACUGGGCGUAAAGGGCGCGUAGGCGGCGUGACAAGUCACUUGUGAAAUCUCCGGGCUUAACUCGGAGCGGCCAAGUGAUACUGUCGUGCUAGAGUGCGGAAGGGGCUACUGGAAUUCUCGGUGUAGCGGUGAAAUGCGUAGAUAUCGAGAGGAACACCUGCGGCGAAGGCGGGUAGCUGGGCCGACACUGACGCUGGAGGCGCGAAAGCUAGGGGAGCGAACGGG
rnacentral:rRNA from 1 species